CCCCGGGCACACUUCCCACGUGGGGUGGCCACCCCGUCGCGGCAGAGCGCUGUGAAACCUGGCCCGGCGGCCAGCGUGUCGGAGGGGCUUUACAAUGGCUCUCAGCAAACCUUCCAGCCUUGGCCGUAAAGGCUUUCUCGGCAGGGGGGCUGCAAAACCCGGGAUGGUUACCGGAAAUGAACCGCGCGAUCAGGCCCCUUCACGCCCACUUAGCUUUGUAGGUUCUGCAGUCUUCACCGGACAAAAGGGCACCUCUUCCAUAGCACACCCCUUUCCUUCCUCUGCCUUCCGUGGCUCAUAGUUUUCAGACUUCAUGCUUGCUCCCUAAAAAGAACAGCAAGAAGCAAUUGAACAUAUUGAUGAAGUACAAAAUGAAAUAGACAGACUUAAUGAACAAGCCAGUGAGGAGAUUUUGAAAGUAGAACAGAAAUAUAACAAACUCCGCCAACCAUUUUUUCAGAAGAGGUCGGAAUUGAUCGCCAAAAUCCCCAAUUUUUGGGUAACAACAUUUGUCAACCAUCCACAAGGUAUGUUGUAUCAGAGCAUUAUUCCAGGGUAUGGGAUGUCUGUACUUGUUAGAGUGGAGGGACUUGGCUUGAGAACUUAGUCCAACAUGUUGGUUACAUGAGAUUAAAACACG